AUUGAACGCUGGCGGCAGGCCUAACACAUGCAAGUCGAACGGCAGCACAGAAGAGCUUGCUCUUUGGGUGGCGAGUGGCGGACGGGUGAGUAAUGUCUGGGAAACUGCCCGAUGGAGGGGGAUAACUACUGGAAACGGUAGCUAAUACCGCAUAACGUCGCGAGACCAAAGUGGGGGACCUUCGGGCCUCACACCAUCGGAUGUGCCCAGAUGGGAUUAGCUAGUAGGUGGGGUAAUGGCUCACCUAGGCGACGAUCCCUAGCUGGUCUGAUAGGAUGACCAGCCACACUGGAACUGAGACACGGUCCAGACUCCUACGGGAGGCAGCAGUGGGGAAUAUUGCACAAUGGGCGCAAGCCUGAUGCAGCCAUGCCGCGUGUAUGAAGAAGGCCUUCGGGUUGUAAAGCACUUUCAGUAGGGAGGAAGCGUUGUGUGUUAAUAGUACACAGCGUUGACGUUACCUACAGAAGAAGCACCGGCUAACUCUGUGCCAGCCGCCGCGGUAA
rnacentral:rRNA from 1 species